AAAUGGAUGGAUGGAUGGAUGGAUGGAUAUCUUUAAUAAUUGAUAGUUAGUGGUUCAAUAGCUGGUAUAUGAGAUGUUCUUUAGUCCUACUUGUAUUCUCAGUUCUCAGUUUUCCUGCUGGGUAGAGUGGUUACAUACAGGAAGUAGAUUUGCAAGUUUUUGCUGACUGACUGCAUUAAACAGCAGCUGCGUGAAUCUCAGAGGGGAUUAACGAGGGACAUUCGAGUCACUUCACAGUCACUGCCGCACAGACAUGAUGGCUUUACUGGGAAUGUUCCUCUGGACACUGGCCCUGUCUGUUCAAGGUUCCGGGGCUCAGAUCAUCCUGACUCAGAGUCCAGCAGUGGAAUCGGUCGCUGUAGGAGGCACUGUCACUCUGAACUGCCAAUCCAGCAGCUCUGGAUUUACGAGCAGCUUAGCCUGGUAUCUGCAGAAACCUGGAGAAAGUCCCAAACUUCUCUUCUCCUCAGUGGGUAGCAAGGUGUCUGGGAUUCCAGGCCGUUUCUCCGAUAGCCGUGAUGGUACAAAUUAUAGGCUGAAAAUCAGUGGAGUGCAGGCUGAAGAUGCAGGAGAUUAUUACUGUCAACAGCGUUAUGAAACACCGUACACACAGUGACACAGGCCAGUACAAAAACCUCACUCAGCUGUGCAUGCGCUCAGUCUAGGAAAACUACUAUCAAAAUUGGCAAGAUAUAUUCACACUACUGUAAUUCACUGGAUUAUAAUGGUCAUUUAUACCCUGAGACCCUGUACUGGAUGGUGGGUGCUUUUGUAUUUAUUUAUUUAUUUAAUUAAUUAAUUUAUUUAUUUUAUUUAUUUAAUUUGUUCAUUUUCAUUGGGAAAUGGUUUAAUCCUUUAAUUUAUUGGACUAUGCACCAUACUUUCUAUAAUUUCUAUGAUGAAAAAAUACUUUUAUAAAUCUG